GACGAACGCUGGCGGCGUGCUUAACACAUGCAAGUCGAACGGUGAUGCUCCAGCUUGCUGGCGUGGAUCAGUGGCGAACGGGUGAGUAACACGUGAGCAACCUGCCCCAGACUCUGGAAUAAGCGCUGGAAACGGCGUCUAAUACUGGAUACGAAACUGGCCCGCAUGGGCAUGGUUUGGAAAGUUUUUCGGUUUGGGAUGGGCUCGCGGCCUAUCAGCUUGUUGGUGAGGUAAUGGCUCACCAAGGCGACGACGGGUAGCCGGCCUGAGAGGGCGACCGGCCACACUGGGACUGAGACACGGCCCAGACUCCUACGGGAGGCAGCAGUGGGGAAUAUUGCACAAUGGGCGAAAGCCUGAUGCAGCGACGCCGCGUGAGGGAUGACGGCCUUCGGGUUGUAAACCUCUUUCAGCAGGGAAGAAGCGAAAGUGACGGUACCUGCAGAAGAAGCACCGGCUAACUACGUG
rnacentral:rRNA from 1 species